UACAGAGGUCUCAAGCGUUGUUCGGAUUCAUUGGGCGUAAAGGGUGCGUAGGCGGCGCGGUAAGUCGGGUGUGAAAUCUCGGAGCUUAACUCCGAAACUGCAUUCGAUACUGCCGUGCUUGAGGACUGGAGAGGAGACUGGAAUUUACGGUGUAGCGGUGAAAUGCGUAGAUAUCGGGAGGAACACCUGUGGCGAAAGCGGCGCACUGGACCACAACUGACGCUGAGGAGCGAAAGCGUGGGGAGCGAACAGG
rnacentral:rRNA from 1 species